rnacentral:tRNA from 1 species
GAGGGUGUAGCUCAGUGGUAGAGUGUGUGCUUAGCAUGCACAAGGUCCUGGGUUCAGUCCCUAGUACCUACA